CGAGGGGUGCAAGCGUUGCUCGGAAUUAUUGGGCGUAAAGGGUAGGUAGAUGGUCUCAUUUGUCAGGGGUGAAAGCCUUGGGCUUAACCCAAGAAGUGCCCCUGAAACGGUGAGACUGGAGUCCUGGAGAGGGUCGUGGAAUUCCCGGUGUAGCGGUGAAAUGCCUAGAGAUCGGGAGGAACACCAGAGGCGAAGGCGGCGACCUGGACAGGUACUGACACUCAACUACGAAAGCGUGGGGAGCAAACAGGAUUAGAUACCCUGGUAGUCCACGCUGUAAACGAUGGGUACUAGGUUUGGUGGGUCUUGACCCCCGCCGAGCCGGAGCUAACGCAAUAAGUACCCCGCCUGGGAAGUACGGUCGCAAGACUA
rnacentral:rRNA from 1 species